rnacentral:rRNA from 1 species
GACGAACGCUGGCGGCGUGCUUAACACAUGCAAGUCGAACGGAAAGGCCCUGCUUUUGUGGGGUGCUCGAGUGGCGAACGGGUGAGUAACACGUGAGUAACCUGCCCUUGACUUUGGGAUAACUUCAGGAAACUGGGGCUAAUACCGGAUAGGAGCUCCUGCUGCAUGGUGGGGGUUGGAAAGUUUCGGCGGUUGGGGAUGGACUCGCGGCUUAUCAGCUUGUUGGUGGGGUAGUGGCUUACCAAGGCUUUGACGGGUAGCCGGCCUGAGAGGGUGACCGGCCACAUUGGGACUGAGAUACGGCCCAGACUCCUACGGGAGGCAGCAGUGGGGAAUAUUGCACAAUGGGCGCAAGCCUGAUGCAGCAACGCCGCGUGCGGGAUGACGGCCUUCGGGUUGUAAACCGCUUUCAGCAGGGACGAAGCUUUUUGUGACGGUACCUGCAGAAGAAGCACCGGCUAACUACGUG